rnacentral:rRNA from 1 species
GACGAACGCUGGCGGCGUGCUUAACACAUGCAAGUCGAGCGGUAAGGCCCUUUCGGGGGUACGACGAGCGGCGAACGGGUGAGUAACACGUGGGUGACCUGCCUUCAGCUCUGGGAUAAGCCUGGGAAACUGGGUCUAAUACUGGAUAUUACUCUGCGGUGCAUGCCGUGGGGUGGAAAGCCUUGUGCGGCUGGGGAUGGGCCCGCGGCCUAUCAGCUUGUUGGUGGGGUGAUGGCCUACCAAGGCGACGACGGGUAGCCGGCCUGAGAGGGCGACCGGCCACACUGGGACUGAGACACGGCCCAGACUCCUACGGGAGGCAGCAGUGGGGAAUCUUGCGCAAUGGGCGAAAGCCUGACGCAGCGACGCCGCGUGAGGGAUGACGGCCUGG